rnacentral:lncRNA from 1 species
AACUUAAAAGACAAGAAAAGUUCUAGUAAUCACCUUUACGUUCAAUAAUUAUUGUUUGAUAAUUAAUUAAGAAUAAAUUCAAGAGAUUUCAUCGAAUCAUUGUUUAUUGCACCGAAGCUUAUCAGUUCCUAGCUGAUAAAUCAAAGUACAAAUUCAAAAGCAUCGAAUUUCGAAUUUGAAUUAAUUUUUUGAGUUGGAAGAGAAUUUGAAACGAUACAAUCAUGGUGUACACUAAUUUGGACGAGUCAGAAAUUACGGGCCCUUACCAACAAAUCAAAAAAGAUAAAAUGACUUCAACGUCAAACGAAUAUCAGAAACAAGCUCAACAUCAGCAAAGUAACAAAAGUGAUCAAAAGUAUGGCGUUUGGGGACCAGUUUACAAAAA